rnacentral:tRNA from 1 species
GCGCCCGUAGCUCAAUUGGAUAGAGUGUCUGGUUACGGCCCAGAAGGUUAGGAGUUCGACUCUUCUCGGGCGCGCCA